rnacentral:ncRNA from 1 species
ACAUCCAGAAAGCGUAGUUACAUUAAAACUGUACAGUGCCAAAAGGAAGCCCUAUGUUAACGAUGUCCAGAAUUGAUGUCAACUUGGGCUUUACCUACCCUAGCUGGGGGUGCACCACCGGCCCACCACACAACCCUCUGGUUGAGCCUGAGCCUGCGCGAUGGCACCCAAAAUAUAGUGAACUAUGCCUGGGUAGGGAAAAGUCAGGGGAAACUCUUGUGGAGGCUGACCGUAAUCCUGACGUGGAAAUAAGUAAACCCCUAAGGCAUAGGGGUGAAAGACUAGACCAUCUAGUAGCUGA